UACGGAGGGUGCGAGCGUUAUCCGGAAUUACUGGGUUUAAAGGGUGCGUAGGCGGCUAUGUAAGUCAGGAGUGAAAGUUUGCGGCUCAACCGUAAAAUUGCUUUUGAUACUGCAUGGCUGGAAUCAGGAUGAGGUCAGCGGAAUGUGGCAUGUAGCGGUGAAAUGCAUAGAUAUGCCAUAGAACACCAAUUGCGAAGGCAGCUGGCUAGACCUGUAUUGACGCUGAGGCACGAAAGCGUGGGGAGCGAACAGG
rnacentral:rRNA from 2 species